rnacentral:rRNA from 1 species
UACGUAGGUGGCAAGCGUUGUCCGGAUUUACUGGGCGUAAAGGGCGUGCAGGCGGUCUGUUAAGUCUAGGGUGAAAGCUCCCGGCUCAACUGGGAGAGGUCCUUGGAUACUGGCGGACUUGAGGGAGGCAGAGGAGUAUGGAAUUCCCGGUGUAGUGGUGAUAUGCGUAGAUAUCGGGAGGAACACCAGUGGCGAAGGCGGUACUCUGGGCCUUACCUGACGCUGAGACGCGAAAGCGUGGGGAGCGAACCGG